rnacentral:rRNA from 1 species
CUGUCUGAAGAUCGGGGGACCACCCUCGAAGGCUAAGUACUCCUUGCUGACCGAUAGCGAACCAGUACCGUGAGGGAAAGGUGAAAAGCACCCCGACAAGGGGAGUGAAAGAGAACCUGAAACCGGUUGCCUACAAACAGUCGGAGCCAUCAUUGGUGACGGCGUACCUUUUGUAUAAUGGGUCAACGACUUGGUCUCACGAGCAAGCUUAAGCCGUUAGGCGGAGGCGCAGCGAAAGCGAGUCUGAACAGGGCGUUCAGUUCGUGGGAUCAGACCCGAAACCGAGUGAUCUAGGCAUGUCCAGGAUGAAGGUGCAGUAACAUGCACUGGAGGUCCGAACCCACACCUGUUGAAAAAGGUCGGGAUGAGGUGUGCCUAGGGGUGAAAGGCCAAUCAAACUUGCUGAUAGCUGGUUCUCCGCGAAAUCUAUUUAGGUAGAGCGUCAGAUGAAUACUCUCGGGGGUAGAGCACUGAAUGGGCUAGGGGUCCACACCGGAUUACCAAACCUUAUCAAACUCCGAAUACCGAGAAGUACUGUCUGGCAGACACACGGCGGGUGCUAACGUCCGUCGUGGAAAGGGAAACAACCCUGACCGCCAAUUAAGGCCCCCAAAUCAUAGCUAAGUGUGAAAGGAUGUGGGAUUGCUUUGACAAUGAGGAGGUUGGCUUAGAAGCAGCCAUCCUUUAAAGAAAGCGUAACAGCUCACUCAUCAAGCGAUCCUGCGCCGAAAAUGUAACGGGGCUAAAGCUAUGUGCCGAAAUUGCGGACUCGCAAGAGUGGUAGCGGAGCGUUCUGUAAGCCUGUGAAGGUGUGCUGUGAGGCAUGCUGGAGGUAUCAGAAGUGCGAAUGCUGACAUGAGUAGCGUUAAAGGGGGUGAAAAGCCCCCUCGCCGUAAGCGCAAGGUUUCCU